CCUACGGGAGGCAGCAGUGAGGAAUAUUGGUCAAUGGGCGAGAGCCUGAACCAGCCAAGUCGCGUGAGGGAGUACUGCCCUAUGGGUUGUAAACCUCUUUUGUCGGGGAGCAAAAGCCGGACGUGUCCGGCUGUGAGAGUACCCGAAGAAAAAGCAUCGGCUACCUCCGUGCCAGCAGCCGCGGUAAUACGGAGGAUGCGAGCGUUAUCCGGAUUUAUUGGGUUUAAAGGGUGCGCAGGCGGAUUUUUAAGUCAGCGGUAAAAUCGUGGGGCUCAACCCCAUCCAGCCGUUGAAACUGGGGAUCUAGAGUGUGCGAGAGGUAUGCGGAAUGCGUGGUGUAGCGGUGAAAUGCAUAGAUAUCACGCAGAACCCCGAUUGCGAAGGCAGCAUACCGGUGCACAACUGACACUCAGGCACGAAAGCGUGGGUAUCGAACAGGAUUAGAUACCCGAGUAGUC
rnacentral:rRNA from 1 species